UACGGAGGGGGCGAGCGUUAUUCGGAAUUAUUGGGCGUAAAGGGCGCGUAGGCGGCCUUGUAAGUCAAAGGUGAAAUCCCUCGGCUCAACUGAGGAACUGCCUUUGAAACUGCAAGGCUUGAGGCCGGGAGGGGGUAGCGGAAUUCCCAAUGUAGCGGUGAAAUGCGUAGAUAUUGGGAGGAACACCAGUGGCGAAGGCGGCUACCUGGACCGGUUCUGACGCUGAGGCGCGAAAGCCAGGGGAGCAAACGGG
rnacentral:rRNA from 1 species